GACUCUCUUCUCUCCCGUCCCCGACAUUUACUCUUGAUCAGUGUCCAUCUUCAUUAACAGGUCUUUACCAGAGGGAGACGGCGUGCGAUCACGGUAUCGGCAGGGAGAAUGAGAGACGGGCAUCGUUUAGCCACUUGAAGCACGGCCUGACCUCGUGGACCAGGAAGGUGGACACCUCCCCGAACAGACCCACGCUACACUAUGGGUGAACCUGAACAGCGCAGGAGAGACAGAGAGAGUGUGUGUUCCACUGAUGCUUGGAUGAGUGAUCCAGUAUGUCAUCCCCAUACUGCAGCUCAGCUUCAGGACCCCAGUAACGGUAAACAUGUCACAGGAGGGUCCAGCACCAGACAGCAGGCAGCCGGAAGGAGAAGCUGGAUCACGUCACAACUUUUGGAAGAAAAGUCUGGGACAGAAUAAAUACCCUGUGCAGCUUGAGGGGAGUUUCGGGGAUUCAGGGAGGAGGAGGUAGAAGGAGGCUCCGGGAUCUCCGUUCGCCCUGCAGUCGGCACAAGUCUCAGUCAUCGCGGCCGAAGGGCACCAUUCGCUCUGGUCUCAGUAGAGAGCUUCCAAUGCCUGUGCAAUCCAAAACUGAUGUUAGGGUUAGGCUCACUGAACGCUGCUCGGUUAUAAAACUCACAAAAGCGCACAGAUGCGACCGGUAAUCUCAGUUAGUAAGGACACUACCGGGGACGUAGCGGCACAGUUGGUAAAGGGGGUGUCUCGCAGCUCCAGAGCCACUUGGCGGGCAAGGGUUUGAGUCAGGCUGAGGGUGCGUGGAGUUUACACGUCUUUCCUUGAGCUUGUACUCUGCAGACAUACCCAGAAGAAGGCACCUCUAUUGCCUAGAAAAGCACUUGAGGUUGUGCUGCGGUUCCAGAGUGAGAUCUACGCAGCGUUCGUGUCCAGAAGGUCAAUAUAACGCCUGUAACUCUGCUGCUGGAGGAGGAGGAGGACGCCACCGACUCCAAAAGCGGUCGGUAUAAACAUUUCCCGGGUCUGACGGGUCACGGUACGGAGAGGAAGUGCUCCACCACCCGACGCCGACGCUGUCCGACUUGCGGCCCGCGGAAGAUAACGAACCGGCCUGCGCGCGAAUAGGAGCGACGGUUGGUUUUUACUUUUUUACACUGCGGACAGUUACGUUCGAACCGCAGACCGGCAACCUGGAUUGCAACAAAAAAGUAAAUAAUAAGAGAAAACGGAUUCAUAUUUGCAUUAGUUUGUCCAUCUCCGGGAUUUAGGUCAGGCUGAAGGCAAGUAACAGUAAUAAGCUGACGUGAGCCUAAGGGCGUCAAACAUUUAUCACGCUGUCUGUCCAGCACCGCAUUCCUAUCCAGCAGUCCAUGACAGCUUCUCCUCGAGUGUCCCUUAGCAAAUCAAGUUUUGCCGAACGACGGAUUGACCGACGUCUUCAGAGCAGCAGCGCGCCAGCUGACGGCAGCAAUGUCCCAUAUUGUGUGGCGGCUAAUCUUGUCAAUCGUGCUUCUGCCCGGGGAGCCGAGGUCCCAGCUGCGCUUGCCGAGCUCGGAUAGCGUGUCGCGCGUGCUUCCCGAGUCCCCAAAGGUCCCAGCCCGGAGCGGAGCUCAAACUGGCCUGCUUCUUAACGCUACCGGGCUUAGCGCGGUCAAAACGAUCCUGAAGAUUUUGUGAUUAACGUCCCUGCUGGUCGUUAUUACUCUAAUUAUAUUCAUCGCUGUCGUUAGGAUAAUAGGUGUCAUUAAAUAUAUUGCCCACGCUCUCUCCGCGCGCCUUCGUCCCGGGGACUUUUCGGUAAGCCGAGAGCUCUCGCGCACCGACGGCCCCUUAUCAGACCCAUCAGGUAUGUAUGGGAAAAACAGGCUCGCUUGCCCUGAGAUGAGGAGGUACAAGUCUCCAGUUGGAGCUGCAGGCAUAUCCUGUUACUAAUACUGCAUUGCUUUUGUUUGUCUCCUGAGAUACCUCAUCCCCUGGGGUCAGGAACAUCAGCCUGCUCGCUCUCCCACCCAGCCCUUACCCAACACAAAACGUUAACCCCCUCCGCAAACCCUGCCAAAAAAACACCUACACGCGAAACCUCAGCUCCGCUAUCCCCGCACGCAAAAAUCUCACGCGCUUCCUGCUGCUACACCUACUGCUGCCCUCCGCAGCACCGCAGCCGAACACGACGUCACGGCAAAAAAAAAAAACAACGAGGUCGGCAAAACUAAAUUUACAAAAAUCAAUCCGGCGUCCCAAACGUGCAUUCGAUCUCUUCUGAAAAGGCGGUGGCGGAACUUUGGCCUUCGCAGUGCAAAAUUACAAUAAAUCUGUACGUAAUGCUUUGAAAAUGUUGCUC
rnacentral:lncRNA from 1 species